AUUGAACGCUGGCGGCGUGCCUAACACAUGCAAGUCGAACGAGAAAGUGGAGCAAUCCAUGAGUACAGUGGCGACCGGGUGAGUAACACGUGACUACCUGCCCUUGAGUGGGGGAUAACUUCGGGAAACCGAGGCUAAUACCGCAUAACAUCGCAAGAUCAAAGGAGCAAUCCGCUGAAGGAGGGGGUGGCGGCUGAUUAGCUAGUUGGUGAGGUAGCGGCUCACCAAGGCGAAGAUCAGUAGCCGGCCUGAGAGGGCGCACGGCCACACUGGAACUGAAACACGGUCCAGACUCCUACGGGAGGCAGCAGUGGGGAAUUUUGCGCAAUGGGGGAAACCCUGACGCAGCAACGCCGCGUGGAGGAUGAAGUCCCUUGGGAUGUAAACUCCUUUCGAUCGGGACGAUUAUGACGGUACCGGAAGAAGAAGCACCGGCUAACUCUGUGCCAGCCGCCGCCGUAAUAC
rnacentral:rRNA from 1 species